GGAGAUUUCUGCUGGCUUCUGAGUUACUGUUUACCUGUUACACUCUCUUUGUAUAAUGCGUCCAGGAUCAGUAGCAUCAGGACUUAAAUAACCGGUGUGUUUCAGCUGGGUUUCUCUAACAGAGGUGCCAACAUCCUUUUUCACCAGAACUGUGUGCAACACCCAGGUUCAUAAGGGCUGAAGGAAAACUGUCACAGAGACAGACAGGCACCAGACCCCUGAUGAUGAGAUGGAGAAUUGAAAAUCUUUGACAAGGCUGCUAAUCAAAAUCUCAGUGCCUGGUUCUACUCCGCCUAACUAAAAAAAGGACACGUGCUUAUUCACUGAAACGGUGCCUCAGCUUGAUCAUAACAAUGUUAUGUCUUAGAUGCUGAAACAUAAAGCAAGUUAUACCUGACCAGAGGGUAUUUACUGUCACAAAGAAUAAAUUGGGACCCUCUUACCAUCUCAGCUGCUGGUGCUGGGAGGUUGGAUCAGAUGUAAGCUUGAAUUGCACUAUUACUCUGAAAUUCCUCAGGCUGAUGUGGGCUCACUUCCUGGUUAUGCCUGGGAACAAGAAGCAGGAAGCACCAUAAAUCUUGUGAAAAAGCUGGUUCUGGCAAGUUUCCUAGCCCAGCUUUGCUGAUCAUUGAGUUUUGGAUCAUUUGGAUAAACUUCAUGAUGAAGAUUGGCCAGUGCCUGGAUUUCCCAGUGGUGUGCAGAGCAGGACCUCUGAGCAGCCUGAAGCCACCUACCCCUGCCACGAUGGGGAGCUCAGUAAGUCCCGCUUCAGAGUAGAGAGAUUUGUUAGGAAUGUGGGAUGUAAAUCCAAGACCCGAGUACAUCUUUAACGGAGGUGAGCCAGAUUCUCAGCGAUCAGAUCCAGAUGCAGGUAUGGAAAGCUCUCCUGAAGGUCAGAGGCUCUUCAAUUUUGGAAAAAUAGCGCUGGCACAUUGGAGACUGGCCCAGAGCAUGAAACAAGCAGAUCUGAAAUGACCCAGGACUGGGAUGGGAUUUCAAACACUUUCAGGUAUGGACUUCCCUGCUAAUUCCAUUUAUACUGGGAAUGAAGGUAAAAUAACACAUAGUAACUGUUUGUGAAACAUUGGCUCAGCCGUAACGAUUUUGGUUUUUUGGGUUUGAUUGGUUUGCUUUUUUCCCUGAUAUUAGGUUAAGAUUCUUGUAGCUUCGUAUAAAUACAAGUGAUUUUGGUGAUACUCUGCACAGGAAAAGUGGCUGUCUGAGUGUAUCUGUUUGAGGAAUUGGGGCUUAAAUCUGUAAAGGCCAUUCUUGAAUGCCUGCUUGGACAUUGCACUUUUUUUCAGUUUCGUGCUCACGUACCCCCUGUGGAGAGCUCGCGCGGCUCUGCCAUCUCUGAAUGCUUCCAAACAGCGUGACCAACCGAAGCACGAACUUCAGUUAAUGAUUAGACUU